rnacentral:lncRNA from 8 species
UGUCUCUCUCUCAAUUCAAUUCAAAGGGCUUUGUUGGCAUGGGAAACAUAUAUGUACAUUGCCAAAGCAAGUGAAAGAAGAUGAUGAUGAUGAUGAUAAUAAAAAUAAUAAUCUCUCCUCGCUCUCUCUCUCUCUCUCUCUCUCUCUCUCUCUCUCUCUCUCCUCGAUCUCUCUCCUCGCAUUCUCUCUCCUGUCGCUACCAGACCUGGUCCCAUGUCUGCCUCUUCUGAACACUCCAUCAGAGCAUCAGUCCUUUCCUCCUGACGGAUGGACAGAUCUGGAAACAGACUGGGAGGAGGAGAGAGAGGUGGAAGAAGGGGAGGAACAAAUAGAGAGGAGGCAGGAAAAGAUGAAGAGAGAGGAGCAAAUGAAGGAGGAGGAGGAAGAAGAGGAGGAGGAAGAGGAAGAUGAAGAGGAGGAGGAAGAGGAGUGGUCCUCCCUGACAGAGACCAGAGGCGAUCAGAGAAAUUACUCACUUGAAGGGGGAGAUCUACCCUGGAAUCUGGCAACCCCAGAGCUGGCCAUGUAUCUAGCCUUGCCCAGCUGGAUACACACAGCGUUGCUAUGCAACAUCAUGGGGUUGCUGUGGACCCACACCCCAAUGCGUGUGAUGUCAUACAUGCUCCUCCCCUUCACCCUGCCACUCAGCUUCCUCCUUGGAAACGUGCAUAGGCUGGUUGUAUUAGGGUUCUGGAUGUGGCAGGAUUUACGACAGAUCACCUUCUUUAUCAUCAACACCCUGGUCUCCAGCCUCCACAGAAACCUAGAAGACAGGUACAGAGAUAGACAGAUACACACAGACAAAUCAGAUAUUCAUGUUUGUGUGUAUCACAAACCGGUGCACCUGGCGCCUACUAUGAUACCCCGUUCAAAGGCACUUAAAUAUUUUGUCAAUUCACCAUCUUAAUGGCACACACACAAUCCAUGUCUCAGUUAUCUCAAGGAUGAAAAAUAUUUAUUCAUCUACACUGAUUGAAGUAGAUUUAACAAGUGACUAAUGGAUCAUAGCUUUUACCUGGUCAGUCUAUGUCAUAAUGUUCUGUACACUCAGUGUAAAUGCAUACAGUAUGUACAGUCUAUAUCUGGUGUGUGUGUCAUCACCUUGUGUGUCAUCACCUUGUGUGUUAUCACCUUGUGUGUUAUCACCUUGUGUGUCAUCACCUUGUGUGUCAUCACUUUCUAUGUCAUCACCUUGUAUGUCAUCACCUUAUGUGUCAUUAACUUGUGUGUCAUCACCUUGUAUGUCAUCACCUUGUAUGUCAUCACCUUGUAUGUCAUCACCUUGUAUGGCAUCAGCUUGUAUGUCAUUAACAUGCCUCCACAGAAACCUACAACACAGAUAGACAGACAGACCUGGACUACAGGAAAGGUGAGAGCUGGGCUGCGAUCUACACAAAACAGUCUGUUCUACACAGGACAUUUCUAUCAGAAUUUUCUUUGUGUUUCUGUUUGUCAGAACCACAUGUAUGUUUAUAUUUAGUGUGUUUUCCUGUGUGUGUGAUGUGUGAAUGUUCUCAGGGUACUUCCUCCUCUCCUCUCCUCUCCUCCUGUGGCUCCUGCUGAUGUUGCUGCUGCUGCUGAUGAUGAUGAUGAUUGUCACACCCUGAUCUGUUUCACUAGUCCUUGUUAUUGUCUCCACCCCCUCCAUGUGUCUCUUGUUUUCCCCAAUGUAUUUAUCCCUGUGUUUCCUGUCUCUCUGUGCCAGUUCGUCUUGUAUGUCCAAGUCAACCAGCAUUUUUUUCCUGUUCUCCUAUUCUCUUUUUUCUAGUCUUCCCAGUUUUGACCCUUGCCUGUUUCUGGAAUCUGUUCCUGCCUGACCAUACUGCCUGCCACUCUGUACCUCCUGGACUCUGAACUGGUUUUGAUCUUUUGCCUGUCCACAACCAUUCUCUUGCCUACUCCUUUUUGGGUUAUUAAACAUCUAAGACUCCAACCAUCUGUCUCCUGUAUCUGCAUCUGGGUCUCGCCUUGCGUUAUGAUAGAUGAUGAUGAUGAUGCGGGGGGAGUACGAGGGUCUGGGAUAGACCCCCCCCAAGGACAGGAGUUCCACCCUCUGCCUCCAGCUAUCCUCCAUCUCCUCGUCAUCCCUCUCUCCUACCUCCUCACAGGACUCCAACCAGUACACGAUCUUGCUCUGCUUGGAUCUGGAGUGAAGGGAUAUAGAGAAGGUGGUGGAGAAUGAGGGGGAUGGAGGCAGAGAAGGAGUGGAGACUAUCCCCACUGUACCUCUCUGCCCUGGGCUGAAGGAGUGGAUGAAGAAGGAGAUCUUGUUUGACCCCCCCCCCCCCCUUAUAAUAACAACCUUACUGUUGUACUUGUCCUUCAUACACUAACACUUGUCUUGCAAUGAUUUUCAUGAUAGUGGCUUUUUUUUAGGAAAGUUUAUUUCUUAUAUAUAUAUAUAUAUAUAUAUAUAUGAGAGAGAGAGAGAGAGAGAGAGAGAGAGAGAGAGAGAGAGAGAGAGAGAGAGAGAGAGAGAGAGAGAGAGAGAGAGAGAGAGAGAGAGAGAGAGAGAGAGAGAGAGAGAGAGAGAGAGAGAGAGAGAGAGAGAGAGCUCAAAAAAAAAUAAAGGGAAUACUUAAACAACACAUCCUAGAUCUGAAUGAAAUAAAUAAUCUUAUUAAAUACUUUUUUCUUUACAUAGUUGAAUGUGCUGACAACAAAAUCACACAAAAAUAAUAAAUGGAAAUCCAAUUUUAUCAACCCAUGGAGGUCUGGAUUUGGAGUCACACUCAAAAUUAAAGUGGAAAACCACACUACAGGCUGAUCCAACUUUGAUGUAAUGUCCUUUUAAAACAAGUCAAAAUGAGGCUCAGUAGUGUGUGUGGCCUCCAUGUGCCUGUAUGACCUCCCUACAACGCCUGGGCAUGCUCCUGAUGAGGUGGCGGAUGGUCUCCUGAGGGAUCGCCUCCCAGACCUGGACUAAAGCAUCCGCCAACUCCUGGACAGUCUGUGGUGCAAUGUGGCAUUGGUGGAUGGAGCGAGACAUGAUGUCCCAGAUGUGCUCAAUUGGAUUCAGGUCUGGGGAACGGGCGGGCCAGUCCAUAGCAUCAAUGCCUUCCUCUUUCAGGAACUGCUGACACACUCCAGCCACAUGAGGUCUAGCAUUGUCUUGCAUUAGGAGGAUCCCAGGGCCUUAGGAGGAUCCCAGGGCCAACCGCACCAGCAUAUGGUCUCACAAGGGGACUGAGGAUCUCAUCUCGGUACCUAAUGGCAGUCAGGCUACCUCUGGCGAGUACAUGGAGGGCUGUGCAGCCCCCCAAAGAAAUGCCACCCCACACCAUGACUGACCCACCGCCAAACCGGUCAUGCUGGAGGAUGUUGCAGGCAGCAGAACGUUCUCCACGGCGUCUCCAGACUCUGUCACGUCUGUCAUGUGCUCAGUGUGAACCUGCUUUCAUCUGUGAAGAGCACAGGGCGCCAGUGAUGAAUUUGCCAAUCUUGGUGUUCUCUGGCAAAUGCCAAACGUCCUGCACGGUGUUGGGCUGUAAGCCCAACCCCCACCUGUGGACGUCGGGCCCUCAUACCACCCUCAUGGAGUCUGUUUCUGACCGUUUGAGCAGACACAUGCACAUUUGUGGCCUGAUGGAGGUCAUUUUGCAGGGCUCUGGCAGUGCUCCUCCU